rnacentral:rRNA from 1 species
UAAUGCCGGAUGCUCCAGUUGAUCGCAUGGUCUUCUGGGAAAGCUUUCGCGGUAUGGGAUGGGGUCGCGUCCUAUCAGCUUGACGGCGGGGUAACGGCCCACCGUGGCUUCGACGGGUAGCCGGCCUGAGAGGGCGACCGGCCACAUUGGGACUGAGAUACGGCCCAGACUCCUACGGGAGGCAGCAGUGGGGAAUAUUGCACAAUGGGCGCAAGCCUGAUGCAGCGACGCCGCGUGAGGGAUGGAGGCCUUCGGGUUGUAAACCUCUUUUAUCGGGGAGCAAGCGAGAGUGAGUUUACCCGUUGAAUAAGCACCGGCUAACUACGUGCCAGCAGCCGCGGUAAUACGUAGGGUGCAAGCGUUAUCCGGAAUUAUUGGGCGUAAAGGGCUCGUAGGCGGUUCGUCGCGUCCGGUGUGAAAGUCCAUCGCUUAACGGUGGAUCCGCGCCGGGUACGGGCGGGCUUGAGUGCGGUAGGGGAGACUGGAAUUCCCGGUGUAACGGUGGAAUGUGUAGAUAUCGAAAAGAAA